AUUUAAAUAGUUUAUUUAAAAUAUUAAUUUGUGGAAUUAAAGAAUAUAUAAUUUAUUUAUAUUUAAAUA
rnacentral:tRNA from 1 species